AUUGAACGCUGGCGGCAGGCCUAACACAUGCACGUCGAACGAGUGGCGCACGGGCGAGUACUGUCUGGGAAACUGCCUGAUGGAGGGGGAUAACUACUGGAAACGGUAGCUAAUACCGCAUAACAUCAGCUGUGCCCAGAUGGGAUUAGCUUGUUGGUGGGGUAACGGCUCACCAAGGCGACGAUCCCUAGCUGGUCUGAGAGGAGGACCAGCCACACUGGAACUGAGACACGGUCGAGACUCCUACGGGAGGCAGACGUGGGGAAUAUUGCACAAUGGGCGCAAGCCUGAUGCAGCCAUGCCGCGUGUGUGAAGAAGGCCUUCGGGUUGUAAAGUACUUUCAGCGGGGAGGCGUUACCCGCAGAAGAAGCACCGGCUAACUCCGUGCCAGCAGCCGCGGUAAUUC
rnacentral:rRNA from 1 species